rnacentral:rRNA from 1 species
UACGUAGGGUGCGAGCGUUAAUCGGAAUUACUGGGCGUAAAGCGUGCGCAGGCGGUCUGUUAAGACCGAUGUGAAAUCCCCGGGCUUAACCUGGGAACUGCAUUGGUGACUGGCAGGCUUUGAGUGUGGCAGAGGGAGGUGGAAUUCCACGUGUAGCAGUGAAAUGCGUAGAGAUGUGGAGGAACACCGAUGGCGAAGGCAGCCUCCUGGGCCAGCACUGACGCUCAUGCACGAAAGCGUGGGGAGCAAACAGG